CUUAUUUUGCUUUUUACAGGCAAAAUCGAACUACAGCUAACUACAGUCAUUCUUCAACAGGAUACUAUAAUCACCCUGGCACAGCCACCUGGCAUCCUCCCUCUGUGCUGCAAGUGGAAGGACCAGCUUGUCUGUUUAUUCAAGCUGGACUUUCUGGUGUUGCAGAUUUGAUAUAUCCCGAAGGCCAGUAAGAGGGGAGAAGAUUGCCCAAGCCAAAGAAUUCAUCCUUGCACCUCUCUCUCUCCCUCUAUCAAGAAUACCAUCUUUUCCCUUUAUUUCCCCCCUAAUUUCCAUGUUUUGUUAGGAGAAAGAGAAGCAUUGCUGCGGCUGAUGUUAGCCAUAGUGCUGACAAGUUUCAACAGGCCUGAAAACACCAAAUACCAAUUGAGUAGACCUCCUCCUAUCUGAAGUGUGGGUCUCUCUGUAGUUACAUGGGAAAUGCAGUCUGCACUUCUUUGGGGACAACUCAAUCUGCUUUUAAAUCCUUAGGAAGAAUCCUUUUUGCAAAGUAAUCUCUCCUCCUGUAUCCAGUUUUUAAAAAACCUCAUCAGUAAUCCUUCCUUGUUCAGGAUAUUUCACAGAAUCACAAUGAAGGUGAACGUUCCCCAUAAUUUGUAUAAACCUGAUCUCAGUUCUGUAGUUUAUGUAGUCAGCUCAGAUUAACAAUUGCAGGGAAACUGCAAUGCACAUUCCUACCCAACAACAGACCUUAACACAGAUCUGGAGGGAGGGGGGGGGGGAAGAAGUGAAUACACAAAUCUGAGUUUUCUUCUUUCAGUAGGCAGAAUACUUGUAUUAUCUUCUUCCAGUCUCCAAAUCUGCCAAUUUCCAACCCCUGCCAGGCACUUUUCGACUUCGUCUACUUUAAGAAGCACCUUUCGAAGAAAUUUAAUGUCUAGAUUGGGCAGGGGGGGGAAAUAAUAGGGGGAAUAAUGCGGGCGAAGAAAACUCUGAUGAGGGCAGAUUAAAAAAGAUGAAGGGAAAGAAUGCCUGCAGCGAGCAGAGAGGGGCGCUGAAUGAAGAAAGGGGAGGGAAAGCUGUGGAAAAAGGUGUGGAGCGGCGGAAUGCCUGGAGAGCGAUCAAGAGAGAGAGAGAGAGAGAGAGAGAAAAGGGAGCGUUGCUGGCAAGAGAAGGAGUCGUUAAAGAGGCAGCAAGGGGAAGAGGGUCCACGGGAUGGGUCGCCCCUGAGAAGUCGAGCGAAUGCUUCGGGGCAUUCUUUGACCAGUUCUUUCUGCUCGGUUCUUUCUGCACUCGAGCAGCGGCUCCGAGAGGGAAGCAGAGUAGAGAAACCGCGGUGGCAGAAAAGCAUAUGAGGAUCGCUGGAGUUUCCCCUGAAGCUCUUGUUUCGUGGGCCAUUGGUGGACAUUCCGCAGACGAAAAAUGAUAAAGGAUAAUAAAGCAUGGCCAUGGAAUGCAAGAGGAAGAAAGAAGGUCCAACCUUCAGUCUCCACCAUAUACUACCCAAUUUCCGCUCAGGAAAUCAAGGAUCAAGCAAUGGACUGGAACAGAAAUGAGAAAACAUUGGUGGAUUGCGAAAAAACUCAAGUAGAGUUGAAACUGCCCUUCUGAGUAUUCCUUCAUCCCAUCUUCUCCCACAGCAACAAUCCUGUGAGGUAAGUCAAGCAGAGAGAACAAGCGAUUGAUUGGCCGUCAGUCACCCAGGGACCUUCUGUGGUUGAAGGUGGACUACAGAUUCAGAUUAGGAGUUGGUAGUAAGUAAUCUGGCCAACAGACUCCUGCAGUAAUCUGGAUGUGAGACAACUGAAGUAUGUUUUGCUACUUCUGCUGUGUGAGGAAUCAACCAAUCCUAUGAGUAUUCAUUGAAGGAAAGU